rnacentral:rRNA from 1 species
GACGAACCGUGCGAACGUUUUUCGGAAUCACUGGGCUUAAAGGGCGCGUAGGCGGGUGACCAAGUCCUGGGAGAAAUCUUUCGGCUUAACCGGAAAAGUGCCUGGGAUACUGGUCAUCUGGAGGGAGGUAGGGGCAGCUGGAACUUCCGGUGGAGCGGUGAAAUGCGUUGAUAUCGGAAGGAACGCCGGUGGCGAAAGCGGGCUGCUGGACCUCUUCUGACGCUGAGGCGCGAAAGCCAGGGGAGCAAACGGG